UUAAUUAUCUUGACAUGUAAAUAUUUUAUUACUAAAAUAAUUAAAUAUGUUAUUAAAACGUAAGGACCUUGAUUAAAAAUUCAAAAGGAAUAAGGUCUUAAUCAAAGUAGAAAAAACAAGGAUGAGAACUAGGCCUGGCAAUUCCUGACACGACCCGAUAACCCGACACGACACGACACGAAAUUAACAGGUGUUCGGGUCGACACGAUAACGAAACGGGUCAUUAUCGGGUAACCCGAUAAGCACGUGUUAAGAUAACGGGUUUGUUCGGGUAUACACGUGGGUAACACGAUACACGAUAAGCAAAAUAUUAAUUUAAUAAUUUAUAACCCUAAAAAAUACUAUAAUAAUUAUAUAUAUAUAUUAAUUUAACAAUUUAAUACCCCUAAAAACUAUAAUAAUUAUAUAUAUAUAUAUAUUAAAUUAACUAUAAUAAUUAUAAUAAUUAUAUAUACUAUAAUAAUUAUACCCAAAAUAUUAACUAUAAUAAUUAUAUAUAUAUAUAUAUAUUAAAUUUUAGGGAAAAUUAGAAUGCCCUACAUCUUUUCUAUAGUUGUUAGAUUAAACAUGCAUCCCUUUUAAAGAUUUGAUUAAGGUGCUUUGAUCAAUUGCCACCUCAAUAAUUUUCUAUUUAUUUAAUUUUCAUUUCAUUAAUUUUUCUUAAUUUAAAUGCAUUUAUAUAGAGGCAUAAGGUAGCUUAGCAACUAAUUGCCUAUAAUAUAGGAAUUUAAUUUCGUCAAUCCCCUUCUACGCAUUAAAUGACAUUUUUUUAAUAAAAUAAAAAAAAUUAAUUAACUAAUUCCUCAUUUCCUUAGUAUCAGUAUUUAAAAAAAAAAUCUUUCUAUUAAAAAUGUCUCAAUAAAAGUCUUCAAUACAUAUUUUUUUCACGUAUAGAUAUAUUAAAAAUAUACUUAAAACUUAUGGUACAUUUGAAAACAAAAGUAUCAACUGUUGGUACGUUUACAUUUCAAAUGUACCGAGAAACCAAAUGUACCAUAAAAUCAAAUGUACCCAUUAUUAUGUAACCCCUUUGGUACGUUUAGAUUUCAAAUAUACAGAGAAAUCAAAUGUACCAUAAAUCCAAAUGUGCCCAUUGUCAGGUAACCCUUUUGGUAUGUUUAGAUUCCAAAUGUACCAAAAGACCAAAUGAACAAAAAAUCCCAAAUGUACCACAAAAUCAAAUGUCUCUAUUAGAUAACCCUUUUGGUACAUUUACAUUCCAAAUGUACCGAGAAAUACAAAAAAUCAAAUCCACUAUAAAACUAAAUGUGUCCAUAUUAUAGAUAACUAGACGUAGCUAUAUAAUCAAACAAAUAUUUAUUAUGUGUUGGAUGUUCUAAAUAAUAAAAUCUGACAAAUGUUUUUAUAAAUAUUCUACUAUAUUCACACAAAAAAGUAAAAAUUAUAACAAACAAUAAAAAAAUGCAUAGAGAUGGAUAAUAAAUGCAUAAAUAUAGGGAUAAUAAGAAAAGAAAAAAAAAUGAAAUGCCCAGGAGAAGUUGUAAAAAACUAAAAUUCUAAACAAAAUUGAACUUAUGUGAAAAAGCUGAAAUUAAUAACCAAAAUUUUAAGAAAAUGUUUAAUCAAAUUUUCAAAAGGAGUGUAUGUUUAGUCUAAAAAAUUAAAAAACGAGGCGCCUAUGUCAAAACGCCCCUAAAUUUUAUACCCCUAAAAACUAUAAUAAUUAUACAUACAAAAUAAAUAGAUUUAAAUCUACUUAAUAAAUAAAUAUAUAUAUACACACACACACCAUUGAACUUCAUGGGAUACGAAUUAUACGAAACUAAUUUCAACGAUCCAACCGUCAAACAUGUUUGUAUAUACUUCGAGAUCGCAUACGCCAAAAAUUACAAAAAACAAACAUUCAGAGAUCAAGUAACGGGACAAAACUUUUCGACGGUUAUAAACGAAAAAUCACGAUUUAACGGUCAUUUUAACUCCGAUUUUGAUGAUUUUUUACAACCACACUCCUUGACCCUAUAUGAAUACAAUGAUUGAAUUCGAUCUUCAAUUUAAAAUAUUUACACUAAUCUUAUGUUAUACUUAAUAAAAGUAUGAAUAAACUCUUAAGUAUUAGUGAAUCUAUUGUUUUGAUGGGAUACUCAUUCUACGAAACUAGUUUCAAAGAUCCAACCGUCAAACAUGUUUGUAUAUACUUUGAGAUCGUACACGUCAAAAAUUACAAAAAACAAACAUUCAGAGAUCAAUUAACGGGACAAAACUUUUCGACGGUUAUAAAAAGAAAAACCACGAUUUAACGGUCAUUUUAACUCUGAUUUUGAUGAUUUUUUGCAGCUACACUCCUUGACCUUAUAUGAAUACAAUGAUUGAAUUCGAUCUUCAAUUUAAAAUAUUUACACUAGUGGAAACCACAAAAUCUUAUGUUAUACUUAAUAAAAGUAUGAAUAAACUAUUAAGUAUUAGUGAAUCUAUUGUUUUGAUGGGAUACUCCUUCUACGAAACUAGUUUCAAAGAUCCAACCGUCAAACAUGUUUGUAUAUACUUCGAGAUCGCAUACAUAAAAAAUUACAAAAAACAAACAUUCAGAGAUUAAUUAACGGGACAAAACUUUUCGAUGGUUAUAAAAAGAAAAAUCACGAUUUAACGGUCAUUUUAACUCUGAUUUUGAUGAUUUUUUGCAGCUACACUCCUUGACCAUAUAUGAAUACAAUGAUUGAAUUCGAUCUUCAAUUUAAAAUAUUUACACUAGUGGAUACCACAAAAUCUUAUAUUAUACUUAAUAAAAGUAUGAAUAAACUAUUAAGUAUUAGUGAAUCUAUUGUUUUGAUGGGAUACUCAUUCUACGAAACUAGUUUCAAUGAUCCAACCGUCAAACAUGUUUAUAUAUACUUCGAGAUUGCAUACGCCAAAAAUUGCAAAAAACAAACAUUCAGAGAUCAAGUAACGGGACAAAACUUUCCGACGGUUAUAAACGAAAAAUAAUGAUUUAACGGUCAUUUUAACUCCGAUUUUGAUGAUUUUUUACAACUACACUCCUUGACCUUAUUCAUACAAUGAUUCAAUUCGAUCUUCAAUUUAAAAUAUUUACACUAGUGGAUACCACAAAAUCUUAUGUUAUACUUAAUAAAAGUAUGAAUAAACUCUUAAGUAUUAGUGAAUCUAUUGUUUUGAUGGGAUACUCAUUCUACGAAACUAGUUUCAAAGAUCCAACCGUCAAACAUGUUUGUAUAUACUUCGAGAUCGCAUACGUCAAAAAGUACAAAAAACAAACAUUCAGAGAUCAAUUAACGGGACAAAACUUUUCGACGGUUAUAAAAAGAAAAACCACGAUUUAACGGUCAUUUUAACUCUGAUUUUGAUGAUUUUUUGCAGCUACACUCCUUGACCUUAUAUGAAUACAAUGAUUGAAUUCGAUCUUCAAUUUAAAAUAUUUACACUAGUGGAAACCACAAAAUCUUAUAUUAUACUUAAUAAAAGUAUGAAUAAACUAUUAAGUAUUAGUGAAUCUAUUGUUUUGAUGGGAUACUCAUUCUACGAAACUAGUUUCAAAGAUCCAACCGUCAAACAUGUUUGUAUAUACUUCAAGAUCGCAUACGUCAAAAAUUACAAAAACCAAACAUUCAGAGAUCAAGUAACGGGACAAAACUUUUCGACGGUUAUAAACGAAAAAUCACGAUUUAACGGUCAUUUUAACUCCGAUUUUGAUGUUUUUUUACAACCACACUCCUUGACCCUAUAUGAAUACAAUGAUUGAAUUCGAUCUUCAAUUUAAAAUAUUUACACUAAUAAAAGUAUGAAUAAACUAUUAAGUAUUAGUGAAUCUAUUGUUUUGAUGAGAUACUCAUUUUACGAAACUAGUUUCAAUGAUCCAACCGUCAAACAUGUUUAUAUAUACUUCGAGAUUGCAUACGCCAAAAAUUGCAAAAAACAAACAUUCAGAGAUCAAGUAACGGGACAAAACUUUUCGACGGUUAUAAACGAAAAAUCACGAUUUAACGGUCAUUUUAACUCCGAUUUUGAUGAUUUUUUACAACUACACUCCUUGACCCUAUAUGAAUACAAUGAUUGAAUUCGAUCUGCAAUUUAAAAUAUUUACACUAGUGGAAACCACAAAAUCUUAUGUUAUACUUAAUAAAAGUAUGAAUAAACUCUUAAGUAUUAGUGAAUAUAUUGUUUUUAUGGGAUACUCAUUCUACGAAACUAGUUUCAAUGAUCAAACCGUCAAAUAUGUUUGUAUAUAUUUCGAGAUCGCAUACACCAAAAAUUGCAAAAAACAAACAUUCAGAGAGCACGUAACGGGACAAAACUUUUCGACGGUUAUAAACGAAAAAUCACGAUUUAACGGUUAAUUUAACUCCGAUUUUGAUGAUUUUUUACAACUACACUCCUUGACCUUAUAUGAAUACAAUGAUUGAAUUCGAUCUUCAAUUUAAAAUAUUUACACUAGUGGAUACCACAAAAUCUUAUGUUUAUACUUAAUAAAAGUAUGGUAUAGUACUAUUGUUUUAUUUUUUUUUUCAUAAUUAUUUUGGUAAACUUCUCAUAAUUUUGAAUGAUUUUUAAUGUUUGGUUUUUCUAUGCUUAGUUUAUGCAGAAGAUAGUUAUGACGUGGAAAACCUUACUGAAAACAUCAUCAACAUAACUCUUGAAGGCAAUAGAUCAAGCCAAAGUUCCAAUGCAAUUUCAUGAUGAUCGAUGUAAAUCGAGGAUUUUGUAAAUUGAGGUUUAAACUUUUGAGAAAUAUUUCACAACCUUGAAAACAAAAACUGUUUCAUUUUGCAUAUCCUUGCACAUUAAAAAUUUGUAAUAGAUUAGUAGUGUAUGUAUUAUUUUUUUAUUAGGCUCUUAUUUUCGAGUGUAGAUGCAGUACUUAAACGACAAAUGUGUUUUAAUGUUUUGAAGUAAUAUUUAUGUGGCAAUGUGUGGUAUGUGCAAAUUUAAGAAAAAAAUAUAUAUUUUUCAUAACGGGUCAUAACGGGUCGGGUCACUUUACCCGUUGGGUAAAGUGACACGACCUGUUAAGGACCCGUUAAGAUAACGGGUGUGACACGACACGACCCAUUAAGAUAACAGGUGUUACACGAAAACGACACGAACACGACUGACACGACCCGUUUGCCAGGCCUAAUGAGAACCUAUUUGGCUCACCUCAACGGCUUAAAACCUCUAAGAAAUCAAGAUAAAAGGAAAAUUACUUCUAAUGACAUGUUUAUUUACUUGAAAUUGGAGAGUCAUAAAUCGGAAAACUCAUGUCAUGUUUAUAUACAUGGAAUCGGAAUAAGAAGGAAUUAGAAUGAGUAGGAAUUGGGUUAUCAAGGAUUCACAUGAAACGGAAAGAAACAAUUUCAUUAAGUGUUUACUAACCGUCAAUAAAUGAAAUGAAAAUUAAAGGUAAGCCAAAUGAAAUGUUUACUAACGAGCAGAAAUAACAAUAUACAUUAGUUAUUUUAUUUUGGUAAACAAAAAAUAACAUUUGUUGUUCACUAGAAUACCCUCAUACAAAAUAAACUUUAUUUUUCAACAUUAGAAAAUGUAAGGGCUGCAUUGGUGUAUAAAAAAUAAUAAUUCUGAAUCAUCCUUUUCCAUUCUCACCUCCCCUAUAUAUUAUCAUUCCUUAAUAAAUAAUUUUCUGAUGGGCCACAUAGUUUUUCUUUAUUCCUUUAUCCAAGUAAACAAGGGGAAUCCUAGAAUGAUAGUGAUCCUAAUACGGUGGUAUUGAAUUCGUUGUUCACCAAAUUCGAAUGAAGAAAAAUCCUACCAGACUGUAUUUUAAGUUUAAGUGGAAAUUUUCUAUUAAAAAUUCUUAGUUUAGACAACAAUAGAAAAAAGAGAAUAAAUAUUAGAUUAAAAAAAAAAAGAAAUCUAACAUUAAGAAACAUCAUUGUCACUCAUUUUGUCGUGACAUACAAUUUCUCAAUGAGUUUAUAUAUCAUGACUUAAUCAAAAAUUUCUUUUAUUUAAAGAAAAUCUUUGUGUUUUUAUUAAUUUUUUUAUACAAUGGCAUAUUUAUACUAAUACGGUGGUGUUAAAUUCAUCAUUCACGAAAUUCGAGUGAAGAAAAAUGUUACUAAACUAUAAUAUAUGUUUAAAUGACAAUUUUUAUUACUGUCAUGACAUAAUUCUUAGUUUGGACAAUAAUAGAAAAAAAAAACAAUAAAAGAUUGGAUUAAGAAAAUAAAAGAACUCUAACAUUAAGAAGAUAUCAUUGUCACUCGUAUUGUCAUGACAUACGAAAUGAAAUUUUGACCAUCACCAAGAUAGGGAUUUAAAAAGACUAAACAGUCCAUUGAUUCAUUGAUUAACAUGUAUUACAAUGGAGUAUAAUACCGAAAAGAAACUCAAAUUGACAUGUGGCAUAAAAUUCCCCCACAUGGACCAUCCUCUUUUAACUCCACACUAAACCCUACAAUCAAAAGUCAAAUGACUCAAAACACUCCAAACCAACCACAUUGCCUAAAGGCAAUAGGAACAUAUUCUUGUGGCACAACAAAUUUGCAGAAUAUAUAAAGUAGAAAGUUGUACACAUUAACUAUGAAAUUAUAUUCCCCAAACAUAGCAAUAAUACAUGAACAUAUGCUACAUGAUUUUAACAAAACGAUAUUUUAAUUAUUCCAACUUAAAAAAAAAAAAAAACUUCCAUCGUCGUAUCCACUUAAAAUGAACAUUUUUCAUUUGAUUUUAACCAUAGAAUACAAACUGGAUGGGUGAAGUGGAAAAGUGCAUCGAGUGUGUUGUGUGAUUAUCGUAUACCACUAAAGCUUAAAGGAAAAUUUUAUAGGACGCCAACAAGGCCAAUACUGCUUUAUGGCACAGAAUGGUAAAUGGUCCAAAAUCAACACGUGCAAAAAAUGAGUGUAGCGAAUAUGAGAAUGCAUUGUUGGAUGUUUGAGCACACAAGAAGGGAUACGAUUAAGAACGAGGAUAUCGGUGAUAAAAUAGGAGUGGCCACAAUUAAAGAUAAGAUGAGAGAAAAUCGAUUAAGGUGACUUGGACACGUGGGCCAGAUGCCUACAAUUGCUUUGGUUAGAAGAUACGACUAUGAAACGGAAGCUCAGGGCAAAAGUGAUAGAUGAAG
rnacentral:lncRNA from 1 species